rnacentral:lncRNA from 1 species
GUUUCUCUUCCUGAGACAUGAUGUUGCCAAGACCUUGCAGGAGACAACGUAAGUGCUUCAGUUAUGGCUGAGCACUCAACUGCUACAUUCAGGGAACCUUGUGUAGCCAGAAUACCUUGCCUGCAUCACUACUCUCUAGAAACUGAAGUUUCUCUCCAUAAGACUGAGUGACUGUGAAGGUCAUUGCCACUAGUAGGAUUAGUGGAUCUGGAUCUGACAUAUGGUGGAUAAAGUCCAGCCAUGGCCACUUGCAUUUUAUAGUGCAGAGAAAACAUAGUCGGAUGGAUCUUUCCAACCAAACUAGUCCAGCAACAGGCCCAAAUUGGAAUCCAGCUCAAGGGGAGGCCCCACGGCCGGACAAUAUUAUUGAUGCUAUGGUGUGCUCACAAAAAAAGGAGACCUAUCAUGACUGCCCUCUGAAAGAUCCAACAAGCAGCUGAAAGAGUCAGAUGCAGAUAUUUACACUCAACCAAUGGACAGAAGCUGCUAACCCCUGUGGUUGAAUUAGAGAAAUGCUGGAAGAAGCUGAGGAGAAGGGCAAUCCUUUAGGAAGACUAGCAGACUCAACUAACCUGGAUCCAACAUCUCUCACAUGCUGAGCCACCAACCAGGCAGUAUACAUCAGCUGAUAUGAGGCCCCCAACACAUAUACAGCAGAGGACUGCCAGGUCUGUACUCAGAGAAGAAGCACCUAACCCUCAAAAAACUGGAGGCCCAUUUUUCUAUCUGGGGUCUCUCU